CGUAAAGUCUCUGCAAAAAGCUGUUAGCUUCUAUACAGCCCCAUUACCACCAUUCAACAAAUACUUUCUUGUAAUGCCCGGGAAGGUGUAAUAUGUCUGCAAAUGCAGCCACACACACCACACAGGAACAGCAUGCAAAAUCUGCAAAGGGACAAUAAAUGCUGAAGCGGCUGAAGAUCGUUGGAUAUUUGGAUCAAGGCAAUAAAUGAAUUUGGGAACUGGGUGAACCUACCAGAAGGCCAACGGACAACAUUUAUCAUUCUAUCUCACCAAGAAUACCCGCUGUACUUGAAUAGCCAUCAAGAAGAUUGGCAUCCCCGUGCUGCGCAAUGGACUCAAUGUUAUGUCACAGAAGGAGCCAGUGUUGUGAUUCUAUGUGAAGCAUUGCUGAAAAGGACUAAGUCCACUCUUACAGGUUUAAAAUUAGAAAAUAUGCACAGAAAUGUAACUUCUUUAAUGUUUUAAUUGCUAUCAAGACUUCCUCAAAAGCAGCACAUUUCUUCAUAAUUCUGUCCCAGCUCAUCACAACUAAUAUCAGGACUGGUUUCAGUGCAAAACCAAUGUGCUUACCCAAUGAAAAGUCUUAACCGAUUUGUUCUUUGCCUGAAUGGAAAAUCGGUUCGCUAUUAGGACUUGUCCAGUUUCACAGGAUGUGAUUAACCGUUUCCAAGUAGGACUGUUGAUCCAAAGUUACUCCUGACUUUAUUCUGCUUAAUGCUUAACCUCAUAUCUUUAAAUUCCAGAGAUUUCCCUCACAGAAAAUCAACGUGAGUCAUAAAGACGCCUGCCAGUUUUUCUUUGACCCAUUGUUUGGUCUGCUUUAAGCUAAAUGCAACCUACUUCCAGCAAGACAGGCCAAACUGACAAAAACCAAAUCAACAUUGCAUCAUUCAUCCGAUAAACAAAUCUGUUUACGUUUCAUAGCCUCCAUUCUGGAUCACCUGUUCUUGAAGCGAUUUCCAAAAUAUUUUUCUUUGGAACCUUUCACCAUGCAAAGGAAAAUGGAGCUUUUAUAUCAAUUGACUUACAUUUUCAGGAGCAUUCUCCAAGAGCCAAGAGGAUUUUCAAGAUCACUUGUCCAAAAGUGGAGGAAUCCACUUUAACAUUCCAACAUCUUUAACAUCUCACCAAAUUUCUCUUUGAAACCACAAAUCACGAGCAUGACUUUAGCCUUAUAUAUCCCAUUAGGGAGAACUUUAUUCCGGGCAUAUCCAUCUGUAGGAAAAGGCUAGCCAUUCCCUAUCUAAUAAUCCAGUGUGUACACCAAAUUCUUUCCAGCUCCCCUAACUCUUUGUUUGGCAUCUUUUGUCAACUU